CACAGCUGAGAGUGGACGGUGGCUCCCACCAGGCUGGAGUGGAGGAGGCAGAGAGGGACGGGAUUCCCGCCAUGCCUGGCGAUGGGCCAGCGUAUCCCUGGCACGUGCGGCUAAGAGAGGACUCGAGAUGGGCCCUGGUUUUCCCCUGAGGAGGUCUCCACCUGAGGAGGGGAGGCUGUGGGAGAAGAACUUCCCCGGAGCACCAGACGCCCGCGCUGGCUUGGGGAGCCCGCAACGCCCGCCACGCAGAAGGGGUGUUGGACACCCAGCUGGAAAGGAGUUCAAAGUAACAGAGCCUGGCCCAGAAGUCCAGACACGGGACAGCAGCGUCCCUGCCCGGUUCCUCCCUGUGUGAAAGCCCCGCCCAGCAUCACUGGCACGUGGACCUCAGCCUGUGCCCACACUGUGUGACGGAGGCCGAGGGACGCCAAGGCUGUCCAUCCCACUUCAGAGCCGCCGUCCGUCCUUCUCCCAGCUUGCCAUGGGGCACUGCCUCCUCCCUCUGCCUCCACGUAGACGGAGACCAGCCCACGUUCCAGCCUGUGCAACCACCAGGGCUCACGCCUGUAGCUGUGCCCUGUAGUCACCCAUGCUCCUCUCCAUGGUCAAGUCUAAGUGCCUUGUCCCUUCGAAAGAACACCGUGCAGUAAAAAAUGGGGUGGGGGGGCUAUGUUGAAGUUGGAGCCAGUACGUGGCAGGUGGAAUCCCUGAACAUGGUGGGGUCAGCAGAGUAGGAGAGGCUGAGCGGGACCUGGGCACCCUUGCAACGCGACCUCCCACUUGCAGCUCUGGGCCUCAUCUCCUGCCUCCCCUGGAGGUGUGUCUCAUCGUUAAGGCAGAGGCAGGAGAGGCAUUAGACCUAGGUCGCGCCUUUGCAGGGCCCAAUUGGUCCCUGGAGACCAUUACGCCUUCACCUGUCUGUCCUUCCAGCUUCCGCGGCUCCCCAGGGACCCCUUCCCACUGGGCGAGGAGCGCACCACCUGCUCUUCCUGAUUAUCCCGCCAGCCUUUCCCUCCGGUUUGCCCCAGGCACUUCUGCCGCAGGUGUGACGAUCCCUCACCUCCCAUUAACCAGGGCUACCAGCUCCCUGACCUCCCACCCAUCGCCUAAUUGUCACUCGACUCCGGGGCUCCCAGGGCCCUCUGCAAGCUGGGUGUGGGCAGACUCCUCAUUAAAUCCCUCUUGGUGGUUGCUGUCCAGCUGGGUCCCAUGCACGGACUCAGCCCCUCCCUGGACAGGGACGUUACCCAGGGCUCCUCGAGGUCCUAUCAGGGAUCCAGAACCCAUUGCAGCAGGGGCACGUGGGACAUGGGAUUACCGCAGAGCCUCCUGCUGCCAUCUCCUGACAUGGCUUCUGAGCCAGGGGGGAGCUGCAGGGCGAGACUGCCUGGACCCUGGGUGGCAUGUCCACGACUUGGAGUUGAGCCCUCUGCACUGUCCUCGGCCAGGGCACUCCUCCACAGGCAUGGGCAUCUCCUGCCAGGUCAGGGUCCUGGAAAUGGCCACUGUGGAGACCUCCAGGGCCCAAGACUCCUGGAGCCGGAGUGCCUGGCCUGGCCACCCACACAGAUCCAAAGCCCCUGCCUGGGCGCCGGGCGUGGGUACAGGCCAGCCUGCCCACAGAGGCUCCAGCCCAGCUGACAACCUGAGCAGAGGUGGCCCCAGGAAGGCCUCUCUGGGCUCUGUCUGUGGUGGGGGGCAAGGAGGCUGCCCCCAUAGUUGUCCAGCAGAAGGCAAAGCCUUCCUAGCCGCUGAGGGCAGCAGGUCAGUGCGAGAGUGGGGUGAGUGCCUGGUGCAGGUGAGGGGUGCAGAGGACGCAGGACAAACCGAGGGUGGGAGAAGCCACUUGAGAAGUCACUUCUUCCGGUGGUGCAGGAGGGCCAGCCCUGUGGCCAGGGAAAGGCGAUGGUGGGUUCCAGGAACCUGAGCCCUUGAGGAGGCCGACCUGGCCCCAUGGUGACCAGUUCCUCCUGCACUGGGGAACUGCAUGUCAUAUUCAACAGCCUGUGUCCAAGCUAAAGUCCGCCAGGCCUGGACAUGGUGCCAGUGAGCAAGAGAAUCCACGUGGCCAUCAGAAGGCAGGGAGAGGAGCUUGUCCCCGCGACCUAGGGAUCAUUGAGGAAUUCUAUUAUUGUCAAGGACAAGAGUAAAGGCUCCACGGGCUUCUUUCCUUCUCACAAACGGGGAGACGAGUUCAGCACACUAGCUCACGGCCAGCUCCGUUGACGGGCCUCACCCGGCUCUUAGAAAGGACGGCCUGGAGUGUAUCCACUGGCACCUCUCCCAAACAGUGAGCCCUGGCACAGAAGGCUCUGGAAGAUCCUGUGGCCUUUGCAGCUGCCUGGCUGGCCGGGACUUCGCACGCCUUCCUGUGUCUGCUCCUCUGGUGACAGAGCUGUGCUCACUGGGGCAGCCACCAAAGCCCUACUCAGCAAAUAAGGGCUUUUGUGGCACACUUUCUGAUAUCUAAAUCCCUCCCUUACCUCCAGCUCAGAGUAAGCUGAGACCUCCCUUCCUUGGAUGUGGUUUCAAAUGGCUACUGAAGCUCAGCCCACGGGGCUAGCCAGAAGACCCUGCAUGUUCAGACGCGUUGCCUCCAGGGGAGAUGCUCUGUUGGGUUGAGAGGAAGCAGGGUUUGGGGGAACCUGGAUGCACUCUCAUACCAACGGCAGGCCAACUGUGCCCACCUGUUGGGACAGUCAUGUGACCCAUGCCUGCCCCAGGGAAGCUAGCAGAUGAGACUUCAUCCUGCAGUCGAGUGACUCAGCCAGUGGCACAGCCAGCACCGCCCAUGAGCCCAGGGGAGCUGCUAGAACAGCCAACAGGACUCAGGUCUCCAGUCCAAAACCUCCCAGGGAGUGGGGGACGUGGCACAGCCAUGGGACCAGGUCACGGCCAAGCUUCCCGGGGAGAUUCAAGAAGGAGCCACCUGGGGCGUCUGGAAUCUGCCAAACCCUUGUGUCAGAGACUGGCAACAGGUAGGAGGUCAAAGACUCUGGGGAGACCUCGGGAUCCAGGAUGCACUUGCCAUAUCUGCUGAGGGUCAGCCCCUGGGGGUCAGGCAUGGAGCAGCAGGACCACUCCAUCCCCUCCUGGCCACAGGGACUGAGGAUCCACGGCAGUCCCGCCAGGAGCAGGCGAUGUCCUGGGAAGGGAACAGAAGUGGCACAGGACACUGCGCCUGAGGUCCCAGGCCCCAGGCCAGGGCAGUGAAGGCCACGGGAAGAAACUGGGUUUCGCCACUGUCGAUCAAGUUCAGGGAUGAGCUAACAAGAGUGUAGCAAUAAAGUCGUUCUCAGACACUGCUGGGCUGAUACAAUUUGAAGUAAAGUAGUUUCUUUUUCUGGAGAAUUAUAGGUAACUAGGAAUUUUGGGGAGCCUUCCUUAAUUAAAUAAUCUGAAACAAGGAUACAAAUAUGUCAAUCAGGGUUAUCACAGACUAAUUACAUCACAAAACAGAAACGAUGCAGGGUCUAUGUUAGGGAAAUGGCCAGUUAAGCAAUAGUAUCCCUGUGUGAUUAACAUGAACUGGACAGAGAGCAGAGUGAUAAGGGGCCUCCACCAGCACAAAGCUCGGGCGCUGCUGGGAGCCACUGGGAGACCCUGGUGUGCACAUGCGACCAUGAGGAGCCAGGCACAGGCCAGCAUCUCCCUGCCUUCUGUCAGGAGAGGUGGGAACGCCCUCCUCACAUGGCCACAGUGGGGGGGUGGAGAGUGAGAUAAGGCGGGGGAACACACCAUCAGUCCCCCUCCAUGUGUUGGGAGACGCCGGGGCCCCUCGGGGCUCUUGGAGGAUAACAGAGACCAGGUGCACGCCAGGGAAGGACGCAGCACUGUCUCCUGCAGCAGCUCCGCAGCCGGGUCUGCAGCAGAGGCAAGCCCAGGGGCCAGGCCGAGGCCUGGGCGGAUGUGCACUCCGUGAUGGGCCCUAGGGCCAGUGAGGCAGGACGAUGGAAACAGCUAAUGCGGGUAGUGGGGCUUCGCGAGGGAACCUUCCAGCCCUCAGCUCGGAGCAAGCCCGGCACCGCAGAGUGGGGCCCGAGCCCUCGGCCGCCCAGCUUGCCUCCAGGUGCCAGGGCACAGACCCGACUCCACGGGAAAGGCCACAGGCACCCUCUCCCAGCGUGGGGGUCUCCUUGCAGGUGCACACAGGGCCUACUCCCCGCCCAGCACCCCGUCCUGGAGCCGGCCCUCCACGUGCACAAGGGUCGGCAGCUGUGCCGUGGCUGUGCUGUGUUGUGUUGUGGGACAGUUCUGGGUUGUCACUUUUGGGUGGCCAUGGCCCUCUUCCUCUGGCUGUGUUGUAUGGCCGUGGGGAGGUGCUGUGCUGGCCUGUCCCUAUGUCCCUGAUUGUUGUAGGGACAGACGAGGCAAGACACCGAAGACAGCAGGAGACAGUUUUAUGUGGCUGCAGCCAGGCUCAGGGGGCACAGCUUCUGCUGUAAUCAAUCCCCUGAACCCCGAGUUCAGGGAGUUUCAGAGUUUUAUACCCAACCUGUAAAGGUCCCAGUCUGCAGAAGUUCACAUAAAGCAGCUUUUUCCUUCACUGUUCUGGGCAAGUUAACCCUUCAAGGGCACCCGAGAAGGGCAGAGCUUCUUCUCCCCCUCUCUCCUCCCCUGCCAGCUGUUACCAUGGGGCCCAGUUGUGACUUCUCUUAUCUUGGAAAUUAGACAUCUCUGUGGAGCCCAGCUCAAGGCCAGAGGCCUGGUUUGCACAAACUACUGAACUGGACACACGUUUGUGAAAAACUAGUAAGGGGGUGUCCAGCACCCAGAGUGCCCAUUUCUUCCCGGCCAGUGGCCAAGUGAAACAGGGCGACACGAAAAUAGGCAGUUUGUCUACAUGGAACUCUUUUGCAGAGACUCUUUUGCUGAGAGUCCUCCGUCAGCCAUGGCGGAGAUUUCUGGAGCAGCCCAGUGAAGGCUUCUGUGGAGGAGGGUGCCACUUCAUGGUGGCCUUCAGUUCCCUGAUGCGGUGGCAGAGGUUCACACAAGAAUGAGGGGACCUCAAGUGGCAGCUCUACCCUCUCCUCCAGGGCCAGGCUCACUGGCCUUCCCGCCUCACAGUGACUGCAGCCGCCAAGGUCUCAGACCUCCAGCCCCAGCCCCUGCUUCCUUGGCCUGAGAGCCCCUCCCCCAGGGCAGCCCCUCAUUGAGGGCCACGUCGGUGACCUCCCACCUCAAGUCAGACUGCAACCGAGGCAAAACAUUCUUUUUUUCUUUUUCUCCCCUUCAUUAUUAAAGUCUACUCUCCAAGGCCAGGACGCCUCUGUGAGGACACGGGAGCACCAACAGCAGGAAGGAGUCUGGCUGUCCAGGCCAGGUGGCGCCACCAGCCUUCACCCUCUCUGCAGUUCUGACUGCAAUGAGCCCAGUGCCAGGCACAGGCAGAGCUCGGGGACGGGCUGCGGCACCCCACAGCGCCUGCCUGGCCACUGCAGGAGUCCAGAGAGCACAGGAGGGCUGCUGGGCUAGCAAUGUGCACAUGCAAAGGCCCUGGACACCAACUCGGCAGAGACAGUGGUUCCCACCCCACAGUUGACAGGGAGUCACACUCUGGGCCACAUGGGGCCUUACCUUCUGCAGAGUAAACAGGCAGGCUCCAGAGGGGCCCUUCCAAGGAGCCAGCCUCUCUAUCCCCUCUGGAGCGCCCUUCCUGUGCACUCGGGCCUUCGCCUCUCUGGCACUGGGCACACCAACACACAGGCGGAAUGGAAGGAGGCAGCCACAGGCCACCCAGUCUGAGGAGACACGGGGAGUGCCACCCAGCAGGCCCUGAGCAGAAGCAUGGAGGAGGGCGGGUUCCGCGGCGCUCUCAAGCCCCCCGUCGGCCUGCGAGCUCAUCUCCGUGCCGUCCUUGGACGUGCAGGAAGGACGGUUAAUAAUUCAUAGGGCGAGAGCCUCCGUCUGCAUUAUUAAAUGCCAGGGGGGCUGAGAGAGGAAUGUAUCUGCAGCCGCACUUGGAGCCCUCCCGUGUCCUCUGACCUCCUGGCCCUGGGAACAGGACCAUCCCUGGGCAAGAGCAGGAUGGGCGAGGGUGCCAGGAGAGGGACACCACGGCUCCAGCAGCCCUGUCCACCUGCUGACAGUGGCAGGACCCAAGCGAGGCCCGGGGCUUCCUCCAGCACAGCUGCCGGCGGGUUCACACACCGGAGCUCGCGGCACGCACACGGUGCAGGGGCCUGCGUGGGCCUCUUAACAGCCGGCUAAAUCGGGGCUCAGCAGACUCCCCUGAAAGGCAUCGGCUGACCCCAGGGCUGCACUGGUGAGGUAGCCAUCCGUUCUAAGAGGGCACGCUCUUUCCCCCAGGUGACCUCAAGGCAUGCCGCACUCAGCAGGUGCCACCUUUUUAGAAGCCCAUAAAUGUCUCAAAAUUACCCACUUUAACUAGAGCUGACUUGGGGUCAAAGCACCCCUUCUUUCCUCUUCAGGCUCUCCACAUCCUGGGAACCCACAGGGGGCCUGAGCCCACAGUGACCCCCUCUAUCCAGCACCCUCUUCUGCCUGCAGGAGCUGGCCCGUGCUGAGGGGGCCCCGGGGUGGUGAGUGGGCAGUAAACACUGGAGCCAGAUCAGAUGGGCUGAGGACUGACUCUGCUCCUCCCUCUGCGACUGGGGCGUGUCCUGGACAGUGGGAGACGCAGAAGCCCCCCAGAUGCCAAGCACAUGAAGCUUCUCCCUGCCGCCCAGACUGGACUCUCCCAGCCUCUCCCUGGGACCUCCAGGGACUGCAGGUGUCUGUCAGGUGCUCUACCGGCUGAGAGCUGCCUGAGGCAGUGCUCUGUGCUGUCACCCUCCCUCCACCUGAAAGACCCUAGCCACACCUCUCUCCUUGCUGCCCACCUCACCGCUGGCACUCCCUGGCCUGGCGGGGCUGGCCGGCAUCAGCGCUGUUUCCUCACGAAGAACCAGGCCGUGCGUUCACCUGUGGAAGGGAACUCGUGCCCCUGCUACCUCAGGUGUGUCACGCAGCCACGACCCAGCAGGGAAGGUCAGCGGCGACCUGUCUGCCCCUCCACAGCCCCAGCCCCUGCGCACAGUGAGGUGUGCGGUGGCAUCCUUCCCUGCCAUGCCACCACGGAGGGACCUCAGUGGCCACCUCGAAUGGUGGCCCUGCGGAAUGAGGCGUGCCAUGCGUUCACCUGUGGAAGAGAACUCGUGCAUCUUGGAACUGACGGGUGGCCUCUCCCCAGCUGCCAGAGACAACCCACACCCUCCUUCCCAGAGGGCACAGAGCAAUGGCAGGCCCCGGGCUGCAUCCUCAACAGCACAUAGCCCGCAGCACGCAGCACGCAGCACGCAGCCCGCAGCACCCAGCACACAGCACACAUAUACACACAUGCAUAAAACACAUCACACAGCACACAGUACCCAGCACACAGCACACAUAUACACACAUGCAUAAAACACAUCACACAGCACGCAGCACGCAGCACGCAGCCCGCAGCCCGCAGCCCGCAGCACGCAGCACACAUAUACACACAUGCAUAAAACACAGCACACAGCACACAGCACACAUAUACACACAUGCAUAAAACACAGCACACAGCACACAGCACGCAGUAGACAGCAGCAGCACACAGCACACAGCCCACAGCAUACAGCACACAUAUACACACAUGCAUACAACACAUCACAUAGCACACUGCACACUGCACACAGCACACAGCAUAUACCAGACACACACCACACAGCAUACACAUACUCACAUGCAUACAACACAUUACACAUGCCACACAGCACACACCAGACACACAUCAUACACCACACAGCACACAAUACAACACACACCAUACAUAGAACACAUCACAUACACACAAACAUACAACACAACACAUACCACACAACACACACAUACAUACAACAUACAUACAACACAUCUCACAUACAUACAUACACAGCACACAUCUCACGCACCACAUAACAAACACACACAUACAAUACACACACCAUACACCACACAUGAACACCACACAACACACAUACAACACAUCACACAUACAUACAUACAACACACAGUACACACCACCUACUAUAUACACACACACCAUAUACCAUAUAACACACACAACACACACAUACAUACAAUAUAUCACACACACCACAUACAACACAUAUCACACACACACACACACAUACACUGAUUGCCUACAAACCUGUGCUCAGGGUUAGCUCUGGACAGGACCCACCCUGGCUGCUCCUAGGGUCAGGGCGCUUCCUGGCAGUGUCCCCUGGGCAGUCAGGAGGAGCAGGCUGCCAGUGUCCCCGCCGCUCCCCGACCUGCGUGUCUGCUUCUCCUGUGAGCAGCCGUCCCCAGGAGAGCUCCUGAGCUGCACGGCCUGGUAGGUCCCCCGCCAGGCGCUGUCUCGAGCAACCUUCAUGUGGGAUGGCCCAAGCUGGGCUGACCCUCCCAAGCAGGGACAGGCCUCUCCAGGUGACAGAUCAGGGGCUGCCAGGCUCAGGCCCAAGGAGGAAAAUCGUGUCCAGGGUGGCCUCUGCACAGCCCGGCACAGACGUCAGCCUCGGGCACGUUGGGCUCUUUUCCUUGGUUUGUGGGUCUGAGGGUGAAAGGAGUUGGGAACCGCAAGGCUGGCGGGCAGAGUGGGAGCCAGAGUCAGCACCUGCGGGGUGCACCUGAGAGACUGACCUGCAGGGCAGAGGGACAGAGUGGACACAGGGGGCUGUGUCACCUGGGACGGGUACAGGCCCCCAGCGGUCGCGUCCCCUCGGGGCAGAGAUCCCUUGCCCCGUCUCUGCUGAGAAUUCCCCCUCCUCCCUCUCCGUUUUAGUGCCAAGCUUCCCCUUAUUGGCCAUCCACUGCUGACCCCUUAGCAGGCUGCCGAGUUCUCUGAAAUCGGAGGUGGUGUCCAGAGAACUCCAGGGCCCUGGGGAGGAGAAGGAGGGAGAAUGGCCCAUGGGGACAGGCCCAGCGGUACCAGCGGCUUCUGGGAUGUCAAGGCAACCCACCAGCCUGGGUCCCUGCCUGCGCCCCCUCCUCGGGGUGGGUCUCAGGCCCUGUUCCCACAGCUCUGGUCUGCAGAAAGAUGGCCAGGUCACACCCAUUACCCCAGCAAGUGGGUAAAUAGUAACUUGAGCAAAACACAGCAAGCCAGAAAGAAGCAGGAGGAACUGAGACACCCUGUCCAAGCACUGGCAGCCCGAGUCGGCCACAGGGCCGCCAUGCACGCAGUACAGGAGACAUGGCGGAGAGGCCUGGACCCUGCCUCCGGGUGCAGUGGGGGCGGUGCUAUGCAGACUGGACUGAGGACAGCCGGGUGUUGCCGCGGGGUGCUGGGGCUCAGAGCAAGCGGAGUGGGCCAUGCGAAGGGGAGAGAUGCCCCUCACUCAGUCCCUGGGCCUGGCCUGUGUGCACUGCCUCUGAGCUCCCAGGGUCACUGCAGGACAGAGGUGCCUGCCUCCACCCAUAGUUCUGGGAGAGAAAGAAAGAAAACAGUGGAAUUGGGGGGCACUCUUGGACUGAACUCAGAUAAGAAGAUGCCAUUUCAGGAGGCCUGAGGGGCCAUGGGCGGAACCACGGCCUCAGCAGAGGCCAGAGGCUCUGCCCUUGGCAGCAAGGGCAGAGGCUGCAGUGGACAGAACAGCACCCAGAGGUGACCACACCCAUCCUGGAACCUGUGCCUCUACCUGACGUGGAAAGGGGACUGCAGGGCGAUAGGAGAUCAUUUGAGAUGCAGAAGACCACUCGGAUUACCAGCUGGGCCAGGGACACAUAGCGGUCCUUGUAAUGUCCAGAGAAGAGGUGUCUCCAAGAGUCCAGGGUCCCCAGAGAGAAAAAGGAAUUUGACUCAGGACAGGAAAUUUAUGGGGACAGAGCAGAGUGGGAGAGAGAGCUGAAGCCCCCAGCAGCUGUGGCAGCAGAGGUACCCACGCAGAGGAACACAGGGGUCCUCAGACCUGGAAAGGGGGAAGUCCUCACCCCAAGAGCCCCCAGAGGGCAAUGGUGCCCCACAGCUUGCUGACCGGCUUCUGCCCCCAGAACAGGAAGAAGGCUCUGUCACUUCUCCUGCUUAGUCGGGUGCCUCUGACAGAGCCACAACCAGCUGGCUCAGGGGGCCAAGGGCCGCACCUGGCUGAAGGGCAGCUUGGGGUCCCCACAGGGAAGGGCACAAACGCAGCCUCUGAGCUUUGUUCCCUACCAGGGCUGCCCACUGAUGAGCCCUGGUCAGAAAGCAGAAGGUGAGCAGCCCAGGGGCACAGUGCAGAAGGGCAGAGGGUCCCGGUGCAGGGAGAGUGGACGCAGGGAAGAGAAGGCCCAGACCCCCGUGCACAGACCACGCACAGAGCAUGCAGGAGGUGGUGGGGGGCUGGAGCACGCACCAGGCGGGGGCGCACCUCUGCUUGGCAAACCCCCACCCCACCCGAGCACUGGGGUGAAGCAGCAGCCUUCCCCCCCACAGGUGGGCCAGUCACAACCCAGGGACCAGGUCUGCUGGAGUCCAUGCUCCCUCGUCCAGGAUGAGAGGAGACCCCAAGUGACCAGGUCCACCUCUGGUGCCACUUUAUGGACUCUCGCUUUCUGAGUAACUGAGUGGGGCACUUUCUAUGCUUCCCACAACCACUGGACACGUAGGGCAGCCUCAGGAAUUGAUGGGUGCUUCUUGCAAAGCCAUUAGCUACUACAUGAGAGCCCAGGCUCAGGGCAGCAUCUACAGACCGGCGAGGGUCUGCUCCAGGAGAGUCCUGGUCAACGGUCAGCCCUCAGACAAGCAGCCCCCAGAGGACGAGAGCGAUGCAGGGUCUCUCUCCUCUGAGCUCAGAGGACCUGGAUCCCGGGCUUGUCAGUGCCUCCUCUCUGAGGCUGGGACCACAGGUCACCUCUGGGUGCGCCCUGCUUGGCACACAUUCUCCGCAAGAGAACAAAGACAGAGAUCUGCAGGCAGAGACAAGGCCUCCCAAGUGAGCAGCACGGGAAAGCAGCACAACGUGGGAAAGCACACACGUGCCACGCACUGCACUAGGAGGGCCUGCCCAGAGGGCCCUGCCCGGCCCCCACCGCCCCCUGCUGCCUGCCCGCAGCCCUAUCAGUUACUUCUGCCCACAGAGGUGCCCUCAGCCCUCGCCCUGCGCUCGCUCGCUCGCUCUCUCGCCCUGCAGCGAGGAUGGCUGGCGAUGCCGCUCAAGGAGUGGGAUGCUCUCAGACAGCUCAUUUGCAUGAGCAGGGCUGUGUCUUUGGGAAGAUGAAAGCCAGCCCCUCCCUACUGCUCCCCUGCUCAGCACAGCCUGCACGUGCUCUUAUCAGGAAGGGAAGGGGGACCCAGGCAAGCCCCCCCCCCUCCUGCCCAGAGGUUCUUUGACUGCAUAAUUGAGACCAAGGGAAUCAAAGGCACAAAGCAAGUGGCACAGAUGUUUCCAUCACAGGUACCUCAAGCCGCUCCGAAGGGCCCUCGUGAGCAGCGCCUGUGAAUAUAUUUCAUGCCUGGCUCGCCGAGAAUUAGCAUUGGAAAUCACCCUGCCAAGGCAGAGCUGGAUGAAUUUCAAUCCAGCCCCGACACCAGCCGCUGCCGCCGUGUCAGCCCCAGUCACUUCUCUGCAGAGAGCUUUGCAAGACCAGCAGAAGCCGGCACGUCACUGUUGACACAGCAGCUUGUCCCUUUUCACCGCUCGGCUGACAGCACGCCUGGCGCCUGCCUGUGCUCCACACUGAGCCGACCCAGGUGCCCAGCUGGAAGCUCCCGGUUCUCGGAGAUGUCAGCUGAGCUCUGCGUCUUGGACGGCCGCGCUGCCAGACCAACUGAUUGGCCUGACAGCCGCACGGGCAUCCAGGAGGGGAGGUGGCAGGGACCCUGUGGAGAGCUGAAGCGUCUUUCAAAGGAAGGCCACGCUGCUUCUGGAAAGGAGCCCUGUGAGGGCUGGCCUGGCCCCACCGAGAGGCUGCUCCCUCCAGGGACCCUGGAGGCCUGCGGGAAGGCCUGCUCUCUGCAGGACCCGCCUCUCCCUCUGUGUCUUCUCACACGCUGAUUUAUUUGCCCUUUGUAGUCACGUGGAGGGAACCUUGAAGAGCGCCAUGAGAGGUCCACAGCUGUCCCUCCUGGCCAGUCCUCUGCAGGGCAGCAGGCACCAGACGGAGAGGCCUCCUCUUCCCAGGGUGAGCCCUCAACAGACAUCAGGCCUCCCACCCUGGUGGGCACUGACCAGCCGUGCCUCGGAGCCCAGGCUGAUCAGUCCCUAUGGCCUCCGGGAAGCUGAGGCGAGGUCGGCUGCCGGCAGGGGAUGCCACACUGGCUCAGCCUGAGGGAGCAUUUGUCAUGAGCCGGGCAUCUGACCCCUGUGCCCCGUUACCCCUCAUAGGCCCACGGGGGGCUGCAGUCCUGCCUCUGACACAGGUGCAGAGUGUGUGGCCUGCAGACCCAGGACUGCGCAGGCCAGUGGGGCCAGCAGCACACUUGCUCAGAGGGCAGCAGGGACCCAGGCAGGACAGGGCCGAGCUGAGUCUGGGCCCCCAGGCAGCCGAUCCUGCAGCUGGUGGCCUUGCAAGGCUGGCUGCAUGCACGGUCUCAGCCUCUGUCUCCCGCUUCCUUCCUGUGGAGGCCCUGGAAGGAGAGCCCGAGCAGGAUCGAGGAGGCCAGGCCCCUGGGGCUCCCUCCUGUCCACCUCGGGACCACCAGAAAGCUCCUGCAGGGUCCUGCCCAUGGUGAGAUGCCGGAGCCGAGAGUCCCUGGGACAAGCCAGCGAGCCCUUCCCUGCUCAAUGUCACCUUCAGAGGCCCUUCCUGUCCUUCUGGCAGACUGGCAUCUGCUGAGCUGUGUUCACCAUGAGGAUCAGACACCCCCCCAUGCCAGGUCUCCUGUCCCCUGCCUGCUCCCUGCAGGACGAGGCCAGGCGAACCCGGGGCCUACCGUGAGUUCAGGGCACACUGUCUCCCUCUGCCCCGGGGCCAGCCUGCCUCCAGCCACGCUCAUGCCGUAGGACUGGACCUGGCCUGGCCUGGCCUGCAGCAGGCUCUGACCCCUCCUUGUGUCCUUGGUUGGGAGCACAGGAAGCUCAGGCUUUCUGCCUGUCUUGGGGAGGCCCUGGCUCCGUGACUCCGCGGGGACUUCACUCGACACACCAGCGUUUCGAAUGGCGCACAGGCGUGGAGAAGGGGAUUUGCCGUGGACUCCUCUGCUGGAUGGAAGCGCGGUCUGCUUCCCCAGAGUCAGUCCGAGAUAUUUAAAUAGAAUUUGGGAGCCCAGGCGUUUCCCAUCUGCCAUCGCAGUUAACGAGCAGAGUUCUCGGGAAGGAAUGGGGAGGGUCCACCCCCACGCCCACCCCCACAUGGCCUCCAGAGCCCCCUUUGUUCAAGGCUCCCUUCCUUAUCCUCUCAGGAGUAGGCUCCCCCAAAUAAAAUGCCCCUGGUCUCCUGGCACCGGCCUCCCUGGGGGUGGGAGGAGGGGAUCCUUAUCAGAUGGGUGCUCUGAAGAGAGGGUUGUCAGUGAACCCCCAGGGAAGGUGGUCUCAGGAGAGGCAGGAAAGCAGUCCCCAGGGGUCAGAGGACCCUGGGCCACUCCUGCAGAAGGCUCGGUGACUCGGUGACACCUGGGGUCAAAAGAUUCUGCUCUUGACAAGGGGGUGUGUGGUCCUCCGUCAUCCACUGGCCCUGCUCGGGAGGCCAGGACAGGAGGCCAGCAGCUCACACACCUUUCACAGUGCCACCUGCACAGGACCUUGCCAUUCCUAUCAGCCCUCGGUCUCCUGCCUGACACGAGCUUCUGAGCCACCCGCCCCCCUCCGGCACCUGGGAAGCUGCUCUGGUCCUACAGCCGUGGACCUUUGGCAGGACUGAAGGGCCCUGAGGCUGAGGGCUUGGCUGGCCCUCCUCCUUCUUAAGUCUUGGAGCCUCUAAAAUGGAACAAAAUUAAACAGACGAUAUUUGCAGCUUUAGCCAGGUGUGGUGACCCACACCUGUAAUCCCAGUGGCUCAGGAGGCUGAGGCAGGAGGAUUGCGAGUUCAAAGCCAGCCUCAGUAAAGGUGAGGCCCUAAGCAACUCAGUGAGUUCUGUUUCUAAAUAAAAUACAAAAUAGGGCCUGGAUGUGGCUCAGUGGUUGAGUGCCCCUGAGUUCAGUCCCAGAUACUGCCCCCCUCCCCCAAAAUUUGUAGCUUUCCCCUUCCUUCCCUGGGCUUUUAAAGAGGGUUCUGUGUUCAUGCACAAAUUGGAGAGGCCAGGUCAGUGCCCCUGACAGAGACCUUGGAAGAGGAGGAAGGAAGGGUGUUUGAGGGGGUCUUAGGGGCUGGAGAAGGCAGCCAGGGUGACUCAGGGUUCAGAGGAGCUGGGGACCUGGGGACAAUAACACCAUGGAGUUUACAACAGGCCAGAUGGGUGCCAUCAGAACUUUCUGGAAAGCCGGAGUGCGGUAUCUGAACAUGUUGAAGAGUUUCCUGUUGUCACACUCUUUCCUGAGGGCGCUGUCCCUCGAGACCAGGGUCCCUGGCAUCCUGAUAUGCUAUCCCUUGAGACCAAGGUCCCUGGUGUCCUAUGUGCAAGGCAAUGGCUCCUUUGUGGUUCCCAGGUGGCCCACCCCGAUGGCUUCCCACACUGGACGAUCACCCUCUUGCGGCCACUCCAUUCCUUGGCAGGGCUGGAGGUGCUGCGUCCAUGCUGUGCGCCCCUGGCUGUUUCUCUCCCGUGGUUCUCCAUGGAGUUUGGAAGCUUAGUGCUGGGCCUGCUGCCCUGGCCAAGUUGGAAAGGGGGCGUCACAGCGUGCCCUCCUCCUGAGGCUGCCCCCCCUCCCGCCACGCCCCAGCGCCAGGCCUCUCCCUGUCUCCCCCCACCCAGCCUCUCUGGGGCCUCCCUACCUCGGUUUCUCUUUGAGAAUCCCACCACUGCCCUGGCAGGGUUGUCAAGAGAGCCCUUUCUCAGGAACGAGUGUGUCAGACCUUGGAAGAUGGCCCACGUGGUGACCCUAAGAAGGUGCCCUCUCAUGGCUCCCUGCUGCCAGCCUCCCUCCUGUAAGCUAACCUCCCUGUGCCUGAGGCUCUAGCUGCUCGGUGGGCAGUUACACCCCUGGGGGUUCUGCUGUCAGCAUCUGGGGGGAGAGGUCCUGUCCAGACAAUCCUGGACACGUUGGCACUGCACCCCGGCACCAGGAGGCAGAAGCAGAGAAGGAAGGAAAAGCGGAAGCCGCACCUCUCUGUCGGGAGGCAGCUCUGCGUGCCCUCACUGGCAGCUGCGGAGCGGAGCUGGGGGAGAGCUGGGAAGAAGGCCGUGGCCAUUCGCGUCCUCCCACCCCAGCCCCAGAACUCUGCAGAGUUCUGCACUCGCUGCCAUCUCAGGAACAAAUGUCCAGAAGCCUCACUGCACACCCCUGCAGGCCUGUGCACAUGACCAGGCCAGGCUCAGGUCAAGACACACAGCGGAUAUGACACAGAGAACAAGUGAAUGGCCACCUGGCCCCCAGGGCCGCGGAGUCAGGGCAGCGGCCUGUGCCCAGUCUGCAGCAGGACACAGAACCAGCUCAGGUGUUCAAAGGCUGGUGAAGAGAACAUUGGCAGGUAAGGACGGAGCUGAGGAAACCCAGAGGAGACCCCAGCACACAGGAACGGCACACACAAGCACACACAGGCAUUAACCACAGAAGCAGCAGAAGCACAGCUAAGUCUUCUGCAAACCCAGAUUGAUCAGCAGCGUGAUCGCCACGCGCUGUUAAGACUCCAGCCAUGGGCAGGGCAGUCAGCCGGAUCUCGGUCGUCACUGUGCCUGUGAGUGUGAGCCCUGAGUGGAGAGCACGGAGCAGUGGAUAAUGUCCAUAGCUAAUGGUUUGCCUCCCUACCCAGGGCUGCAAUGCUAGAAGAGCAGGAAAUCUUAUUUAUUUAUUUAUUUUUAAUUUGUGCCUCCAGACUUCGGAGAACAUCUCCUGAAAUGCUCAGAAGGCGCUGAGCGGGAAGACCCCAAAUUGGAAAAGAGGAAAUGCGUCAUGACCUCAUGGGCGAGAAUCAGGUGCACACUGAAUCUCAGGCGGGACCUGGACCCAGGGGAAGAGUCCUACGCAAUUUCAUUUGAGGGGAAAGAGAUGUGCAUUCCAUCGACUGGCCAGCCCAGGAGCAUGGGCUAGUGACAGCUUGGAAGCCUUAGAGAGGCCCACCUUGUUUCUGAAGGACGCAGGCGGUGGUAAGCUGGCCACUGAAAGGCUGAAGACAGUGGCCCUGGGGUGAACCAAGAAAGACUGAGGGGCCGAGCAGAGGCAGUCGGGGAGCCAUGACACUGAGGGACAGGCCAGGACGACGUGUGGACUGCAGCUAGGUCGGGGUGAGACCAGCAUGCCUAGGGGCCUCCUGCCUGGAGACGUGGGUGGACAGCAGCUCCCCAGAGACACCUAGUUUCCCUCCCGUUGCUCCCCACCUCCGCCCGCGCCAGCCUGACCCACCGAAGGCAGGAGCCUGGAGCCCAAGGACCUCACCCUGCUGCAAGGGACAGCCUGCAGCCUUGAGGGCAGAGAAGGCGGCCUGCAGAGCAGUCCAGGAGCAGGAAGGGCCAGCAGGGAGGGUCAGCAGCCGCUUAGCAGGAAACCGAGCUCUCUGGGAACUUGGCUACUUCUAACCUGUACUCU